AAGCCGGGACGCAUCCAGCAGCAUCUCGAAACGUGCCGCUUUUCCUCCCUCCUAAAUCAAAGGCGUUCGGGGGCACGUUCGCCAGGCACGGCCGGCGAGUGACCUCCCCACAGCCCCCCUCGAAAUUACGACGCUGUAUUUCUCAUCGGGAUAUUUCCCGGUGGGGAAUAAUGGCUGGAAAAUGCGGCGGAGCAGCGCCUCGCUCCCUUUGCUCCGCUGGCUCGGGAGCGCACACUAAAGGAGCCCUGGCUUCCUAUAAUAGCACGGCUGCUCCGUGCUCCCGAAAUUUCUGAAUUAAAAGGCCACGACGUCUUUGCCGCGUUCUUGGAUUUUUCCUUCAUCGCGACUGCUGCAAGGCGCGGAUGUCACUGGCAUAUUAGACCCGGUUCUUCCGAAUGGCAGGGGGCAUGGAUUUCGACUGCAGAGUUAGUGUUUUCGUUUAAGGAAGGCAAUUUACCCAAAUCAAAUCAAAUAAUUAAUAAUAAUAAUAAUAAUAAACGAAAGGGGCGGGAAAAAAAAAGACAAAAAAGGAGAGGCAAAAAAUAAAGCUAAACCAACCGAACAAAACUAACACGAACAGAAAUGGUGCGAGGAGGGGGGAGGCGAUCUCUGAGCUGCAAGCAGGACAGGAAAGCCGCUCGGAGAAGGCAGUUCUGCUCCGACCCUGCAGCAGCGAGGGCUUUGAAAGCCAGACUGAAAGACCCACGGCAACCCCUGUCCUCUGCGUGCAGCUGGGAAUAGGAUCUUGAUCUUCUCCUUAAUGGGGAGCAAACCCAGCUGGAAGCUGGGUUCCCUUCACCGAACGAUUUCUUCUACUCGAUCCUGCCCCAUCCAAAAAAAAAAAAAAAAAAAAAAAGAAAA